GCAUUCGUCGGCGCGACCCAACGAGUUUACAAGUAUCUCUGUCAAGUUCAUACUGCUCUCACAGGCUAAGGUCAAGUAACUGACUCUAACUGGUCUAACAACCAACAUGUUACGUGCCCUCGACACAAUCCGACGCCAAAACGGCGAUAUGGGUCCACCGUCAACCCCGACGGCACCCAACAGUCCGGAACAGCCUGAACGCUACUGAAAAAAAAAUCACUCGGUAUCCCAGCACGAGCGUAAAUGCAUUCUAAACUAUCUGGGGUAUCCGUCACCCCAAUCCUGUGACGAUAUAAAAAUACAACGGCUCCUAGAGCUAAAUCAGGUAGUUUAGGCAUAUGUCGAUCAUUAUCGCGUUUUCUCCUAAGUCAUUUCCAAGUCCCACAUGUAUAAACUAUUUAAUUUACUAUUUCAUGCUCCAAAUUCAGAUUUGCAGUUUACCUAAUAAUCCAUGAAUUCGAGCUAACAUAACUAUACAAAAAUCGGACAUUUACACAUGUUGACUACUACGCACUUAGGAGUAAAACCGAUGUAAACCCACCUCAAAGCUAAUCCCUGGCAACGAAGAAGUCACCUAAAUUCAGCCGAGCCCGCUCUCAACCAGCAAUCGUAACUCUCCAAUAAUCUGAACCACAAAAGCAUUAAACAUGUAUUAAUCUUUCAAAAUCAGCACUUAAGCUAAAUCCUUCUAGUACGAUGCAAACCUCACCUUCCGAAUCUCAAUCCUGGUGAUGCGAGGUUCCAAAUCCAGGGUGGGAUGGUGAUGUACAUAGCUCAGGUCCCAAUCCCAAUUCCCUUCAUGAUUUACACCAAAAGAAUCCAAGAAAACUCAAGUUCAGGUUCAGAUUCACAGCAGUGGAGUAAAACAGAGGUUCGACCCAGCUAACCUUCUUCAAAUCCAGCAAUCUUGGGCUCUGUAGUUUCCUCUUGAAGUCCCGAAUCCAGCGAACCAAGUUUCGCCGCGAUCCGAUGCUCCUACGUCGCGUACGAGCCGAAACACUGACGGUCGACGCUGAAAAUCAGUAAAAUCAGCACGCGAGCUCAAAACCGUGCGUUCAAGUUAUCCCAGGAGGAAAGUUAGAUACCCACCUCGACAGCGAAUCUAGCGCCGGUGCGACGUCGAGGACGGCGAAAACACCCACUCGCCCGGCCUCCUCGCGAUGUAAUGGCAGCAACCAUAUCCCCGGACGGCUCCGCGGCGCGACGUCCGCAACGAAAGCUCCAUCCGAGUUCCACCUAUUCGAUCAAUGCUAGAGAAAGAGAGAAGGAGAAGAGUAGCAAAGUAGCUCUCUCUCUCUCUGCUCCUAAACGUAUAAAGCAAGGGGUGGAAUAGGUGAUACAAACAAGGCAAGAUAAAAUUACUAAAAAACCCCUCACCUACUCAAGUGUACUGGUACACGGGCCUCUGUAUUGGUACACAUGCCAACCCGAGAGCAGUCUGCGCGCAACCUACUGAAGUGUACCGGUACACCUUGAUGGCUGUACCGGUACAGCAAGCAGAAAAACUGCUAUUUUGCAGAUUUCUUCGCGGAAAGCUGCCCUCGCGUGGCACGGAGUCCGUUUUGCCUCUAUUUGGCGCCAACGCGACUCAGACUUGUGCCAACACUCUACAGAGCCGUCGACAAGCCUCCACAGCAGAACACCAAGGAUCUCACAUCCUUACCCACUACAAAAAGUUUCGUCCGCGAAACUUAAGCAUACCUCAACUCAGGUCCACAAACAAAUAAGGAUAGGCCUCCCUCAUCAUCGUCUCAGGCUCCCAAGUCGCCUCCCGCUCUUUGUGAUUGCUCCACUGCACUUUCACAUGCGGGACGACCCUGUUGCGCAAUUCUUUCAUCUCUCGAGCAAGAAUCCGCAACGGUCGCUCCUCGUAUCUCAGAUCCCCGCUAAUCUCUAGUGGAGUGAAGUCGAUUACGUGAGUGGGAUCGAAAAUGUAUCUCCUCAAUGCUGAGACGUGGAAAAUAUCGUGGAUGCCAGCAAGUCACGGGGGUAGAGCUAUCCUGUAUGCAACCGGUACAACUCGCUCUAAUACCUCGAAAGGGCCAACAAACCGUGGACUGAACUUUCCACGUACCCCAAAUCAGCGAAUCCCUCUGGACGGCGAGACUUUGAGGAAAACAUGAACUCGGGUCCAAGUGUCCUCCUCUCACCCACAUCACUCCAAAAUAGAGGGGAUCGACAUCUGCAUUCAUACAACGCUUCAAACAGAGCCAUUAGAAUGCUCGUUUGAUAGUUGUUGUCGUACGCAAACUCAACUAGUCUCAUAUGUCGAUACCACACUCUUCCAAAAUCCAGGACGCAUGCCCUCAGCAUGUCCUCUAGAGUCUGUAUGGUCCCCUCUGACUAACCAUCUGUCUGUGGGUGGAACGCCGUGCUGAAAUGCAACUAAGUGCCCAAGGCUGUCUGUAGACUCCUUCAAAACUGAGAUACAAAUCUCGGGUCUCUGUCUGACACAACCGACACUGGCACACCGUGUAGCCUGACGAUCUCAUCCAGGUAUAGCUGUGCGAGUCUCUCUCUCUCGACCAGGUAGUCUGAACCGGUAGAAAGUGAGUAGAUUUGGUCAGUCUGUCCACUAUAACCCAGAUCGCGUCACAACCACUCUAUGCUCUAGGCAACCCCACGACGAAGUCCAUCGUAAUCUACUCCCACUUCCACUCGGGCACUGGCAGACUCUGAAGCUUGCCAGCAGGUACCUGAUGCUCAGCCUUCACCUGUUGGCAAGUCAGACACUGAGCCACAUAUCUGCCAAUGUCUCUCUUCAUUCCAUGCCACCAGAACCGUGCCUUAAGAUCCUUAUAUAUCUUGGUUCCCCCAGGGUGAACCGUAUAAGGAGAACAAUGAGCUUCUCUCAGAAUGUCCGCUCGGAUCUCAGAAUCCACGGGCACACACAGCCGGUCCCUGUACCGUAGUACUCCCGAACUGUCCAAAGCAAAACCCUCAGCCUGCCCCCUGUCUAGCUGCUCUCUAAUCCUCAACAAGUACGGAUCUCCACUCUGUUUCUCUCGGAUCCUAUCCAAUAGAGUGUGCUAUAAAACUAGAGACGUCAGCCUCGCCGUAGACCCAGGGGGUACUAUUUCGAGUCCCAGCCGCUGUAGCUCCUCGAGUAGGGGUCGCUGCUCAGUGAUUGUCAAACUCAGGCUCUGCACUGACUUCCUGCUCAACGCAUCUGNCGGUCCCUGUACCGUAGUACUCCCGAACUGUCCAAAGCAAAACCCUCAGCCUGCCCCCUGUCUAGCUGCUCUCUAAUCCUCAACAAGUACGGAUCUCCACUCUGUUUCUCUCGGAUCCUAUCCAAUAGAGUGUGCUAUAAAACUAGAGACGUCAGCCUCGCCGUAGACCCAGGGGGUACUAUUUCGAGUCCCAGCCGCUGCAGCUCCUCGAGUAGGGGUCGCUGCUCAGUGAUUGUCAAACUCAGGCUCUGCACUGACUUCCUGCUCAACGCAUCUGCAACAACAUUCGCCCUGCCGGGGUGAUACUGAAUACUAAUGUCAUAGUCCUUCAGUAACUCCAACCACCGGCGCUGCCUCAGGUUCAGCUCCCUUUGUGUGAACAGAUACUUGAGACUUUUAUGAUCGGUGAAAACCUCGCAGUGCUCGCCGUACAAGUAAUGCCGCCAGAGCUUCAAAGCAAAAACCACCGCGGCCGGCUCCAAGUCAUGCGUAGGGUAAUUCUUCUCAUAAUCCUUUAACUGCCGUGAAGCAUAAGCAAUUACCCUACCAUGCUGCAUUAGCACACAGCCAAGUCCACUGUGUGAUGCAUCACUAUAGAUCACGAAUCUAUACCCCAUCACCAGAAGGGCAAGGAUAGGAGCCGACGUCAACCUCAGUCUCAACUCGUCAAAGCUCCUCUGACAGUCGUCGCUCUAGACAACACGAAUCCCCUUCCGCGUCAAGCGAGUGAGGGGUGUGGAAUGCUUCGCAAAGCCUUCCACAAACCAACGGUAAUAUCCUGCCAGUCCCAGGAAACUCCGCACCUCCGUCACCGUCGUCGGUCUAGGCCAAUCUCGAAUCGCCUCAAUCUUCUUCGGGUCCACUGCUACUUCCUCAGCUGAAAUCACGUGGCCCAAGAAAGCAACCUUCCGUAACCAGAACUCGCACUUCUUUAAUUUGGCAUACAACUCCUUCUCUCGCAGAAGCUGUAGCACAAUCCUCAAGUGCUCCUCAUGCUCAGCAUCACUCCGGGAGUAAAUCAGAAUGUCGUCGAUGAAGACUACCACAAACCUAUCCAAGAACGGCUUGAACACUCUACUCAUCAAAUCCAUGAAUGCGACAGGGGCAUUCGUCAAUCCAAAAGGCAUCACUGUAAACCCAUAAUGCCUGUACCGAGUCCGAAAAGCCGUCUUAGGAACAUUCUCGGCCCUCACUGUCACGCCCCGGAUUACACUUUCUCCGGGCGCGCCGACAAAUCCGCCCUAUACAAAGGAAUUUCCCCUGUAUACGAAGCGAUAGCUGUACCUGUAAAACAAACACUACUACGAACAGUAGUAGAGAGCUGCUAGAGAAAACAGAAGCUAACAAACUGAGUUUCAUAUACAUAGUCCAGAUCCAAAAUACAAAGCUACUCGCACUGGCGAGUUAAGUCCACUAUGUACAUAAACUCGAAACAAAACAUCUACCUGCAGUAGGGGCACCUCUAGCUCAGCACGUCGGGUAGGGCUCUAACUUGCGACGCCCUUGCCUCGAUCCUGAUCCGCGGAAGGCGCAGCAGCCGAAACCUGUGGCUCUGCAAAACAGGGGGUAACAACUGGGCGUGAGAACUACUGUAAAAACAAGUAGUCCUCAGUGGGUACUGCCCAAAAUAAUAUCGGUCCACCCACUAAGCCUACAGAAGGGAACAGGAAUAGUAGUAAAAUGCAGGAAUAAAGUCUACCGCUAUCAAACACUACACUAUCAUGCUCUACACUAACCAACUGUAGAAAAUAUCCAACCUGACCCAAUCCAAUCGGGACUGUAAGCAUACCCGUCCCCGGGACUGUGAAUACACCCGUCCCUGCCCCGUUGCGACUAUCAAGCUCUAUCCACACUAACUGGUCCGUGGAGAGCAAGUCCAACUGGCAUGAGCGACACCAACGCGAAAGCACAAAGCCCAACUCCGGAGUGGCACUCGUGGGCGCUACCCAACCGAGUAUGCAGCGUAUCUCUGUCGAACUCAAUCAGGCUACAACUAGCCAAACUCAAGUGAACAGGGUCAAAACAGGUCUACAAACCAAACCCACGUGCCCUCGGCACAAUCUGUGACCAAAACAAGAAUCUGGGUCCACCGUUAUCCCGAACGGCACCCAACGACCCGAAACAGCCUAUACUCUGCUGAAAAAUAAGCUCGGCACCCCAGCACGAGCGUAAAUGCCUUCUAAACUACCCCAGAUAUCCAUCGCACUAAUACUGCAACGAUACAAUCGAAUCACGGCUACUAGAGCUAAAUCUGGUAGUUUAAGCAUAUGACGGGUCAAAAUGCAGGUUUUCUCCUAAGUCAAAUUUCAAGUCCAACAUGUAUAAUUUAAAUAUUCAUUUCAGCAUGCUUCUACAUUCAUAUUACAUUCAAGAUGCUAAUCGAUGAAUUAAAGCAUGAUAUACAAAAAUCGAACUAUACACGUCGACUAAACAUGCACUUAGGAGCGAAACCGAUGAUACACCCAUCUCGAGAGCAAAUUCCUGGCAGCACGGAACUCCCUCGGCUGCGGCACAACCUGCUGGAUCGACUGGAAAUGUCCGAGUCUCAAAAUUAAGCUAUCUCCAAGCUAUCAACAUCAAAAUCCACAAUUCAGUCCAAAUACACAGCAGCAGAGAAGAGAAGGGUUUCGACCAAGCUAACCUUCACCAAAAUCCACAAGUAAGGACUUCGUGGAUUUCUCUCGCAGUCCCGAAACCAACGAAUCAAGUCUUGUCGAAAUCCGAUGAUCCUACGUCGAGUACGAGCUGAAAUACUAACAGUCGACGAUGAAGUUCAGCAAAACAACACUUAAGCUUAAAUAUCCCAAUUCCAAUGUCAAAACUCACCUAAUGAACUCCAAAUCAGGUGAAGAGGGUCCCAAUUCCAGUACUGGGUGAUAGGGAAGGUGACUCAACUCCACAAAGCCCCUGCUUCCAAAGUUCACCCCAAAAAGAACACAAAAACUUACAAUUCUGUCCACAGCAACAACAGCAGAGGAAAACCUGAGUUCGACUAAGCUAACCUCAACUAAAAUCUGCAAUUUAGGGCUUCGUGGAUUCCUCUGGAAGUCAAGAAUCCAGAAAACCAAGUUUCGUCAAAAUCCGACCUUCCUACGUCGCGCACGAGCCAAAACACUGGAGGUCGUCGCUGAAGAACUGCAGAAUCAGCACUCCAUUAAGCUGGAUCAUGGAAGUUUGAUGCAAUUUGAGGCAAAUCCGAGGGUAGAGAUGCUAAAAGAGGCUUCUCUGUGAAGAAGGGAGGAAAAGAGCUCCCCAGGGACACUUCUCAGCUAUUUAUAGGGUGAAAAUAGGAUCAGAUGGACCUCAAGAACAAAGCUUGCAAUCUGCUGUCCCCGCAGAAACAGGCGUUUCUGGGCGCCCGGAACCAUGUUCUGGGCGACCAGAACAUCCCGACUGCACAAACCGGGCUCCUCGGACUCUCCGCUCGCGGUGUGCUGCGCCCGUAAAUGGCUCCGGCGGAACUCACCUACCGCCCUGCCACGCGUCGAAGCAAGCGAUAUUCACGAUGUCGAAUUUCCGGACCCACAUCUGGGCGCCCGGAACAUGGGAUCCGAAUUGGCUUCCAGUUUUAGUUAAAUUCAACACUCGUUUCUGGGCGACCCUAACAAUGUUCUGGGCGCCCGAAUCUGGCAAAACUCCAGUUUUGCUUAUUUGAGUGCGCCGAGUCCAAUUCUGCAUCCAAUUCGUGCAGAAUUGCCUCCGACUCAGUCCGACACUCUCCAGAGAUGUCGACCAGUCUAUAAUACUGAAGCCAAUCCUAUCCAAAGCUCAGGAACACUACACUCACCUUUAGCUGGUGGUAACCUGACUGGAGAUUAAUCUUUGAAAAGACACAAGAUCCUUGCAGCUGAUCAAACAGAUCAUCAAUGCGCGGCAAGGGAUACUUAUUCUUGAUGGUCACUUUAUUCAGCUCCCUAUAAUCCACACACAGUCUAAGUGACCCAUCCUUCUUCUUCACAAACAACACUGGCGCUCCCCAAGGCGACACACUGGAUCUCACAAACCCUCUACCCAUCAAAUCUUGAAGCUGUGCCUUUAGCUCUCUCAGCUCUGCCGGCGCCAUCCGAUAAGGUACCUUCGAGAUUGGUGCAGUUUCAGGAACUACAUCAAUCACAAACUCAAUCUCCCUCUCCGGCGGCAACGACAUCAACUCAGGGGGGAAAUACAUCCGGAAACUCGCAGACUACAGGGAUAUCCUCGAGUUCCGGCGCCGCCGUAGGUACCUCCACAACUGUCGUUAGGAAAGCGAUACACCCACUACUCAGCAUCUGUCGAGCCCUCGCUGAAGAUAUCCAUGUAGCAACCAACGUGCUCCUGCAGCCUCUAAAGUGAACUCCUCCCGGCCUGGCUUGCGGAACGUCAUCGUCCUCACUUCACAGUCGAUAGUAGCCUAGUACCGCGUCCGUCAAUCCAUACCGAGUACGACGUCGAAGUCCUGCAGCUGCCCUAACACCAACAGGUCUACGGCAAAAUCCAAGAAUCUAGCUACACCGGACAAGACCAACCACACUCCGCAACCUAUAACACAUAGUCGGGGAUCUGCACCUCUCGUGCCAAAAAUAAUGACCCUAACUCUAGACCAUGCAACAAUGCAAAUGCUCGGCUCACAAAAGAAUGGGAGGCAUCAGUAUCAACUAAAGUAUAAGUACAUAUGCCGAAAAUUAAAAUAAUACCUGCCACCAUACGGUCGGCUGCUGAAGAGUCCUCCUGGCGGUAGCUCGGUGGUGCUCCAAAAGCCUGCUGGUCAGCUGGCUGCGCUGAUGCCAUGGAUAGUGCUGGUAAUGUCGCUCUAGGACACGCUGACCUCACAUGUCCUAGCUGUCCACAAGUGUAGCAGCGGCCCUCUUUCUGCUCACACUGUCUGGGCCAGUGUGGUCCCCCACAAAUCACGCACCACAGUGUCCUCGGUGACGGUCCUUGCUGAAGCGAUCUCCUGGAAUGCUGACGCCCUGAUGAACCACGACCCUGAGAGCCAGAUCGAGAAAACCUCAGCAGACGUCUGCUACUUGUCUGUCCUCCAUCAUUUGGAAAAGGGCGCUUCCUAUCCUGGCUUUGCCCUGGUGCCGUAAUCCGCUCCUGGACGGUGUAACUCCGUGUCCCACCCAGAGUGCCUGCUGCACAGAUGCUCCUGUCUCAACGCCCGACCGCUGAGUGAUAAUCUCAUAAAUCCUCUACAACAAUACACUCUGCUGCUUGAUCACCUCUGUCAGGGCAGCCAAUUGCUCUCUCAAAUCAGGGGGUGCACUCGCCUCCGGUCGUGCACUCGGCUCUGCUUGGUUAGGCAUCUCUAGUGUUGCGACUCGAUCCCUGGUCGACGGUCAACCUCGGCAGCGAUCUGAAAGAAAAAGAACGGGGUCAGAUACCACUCAAACACUCUCGACCCAAUCAACGAAAGUCUGGAAAGCAGCCCAUAUUUUCCUCUAAAAUUAUGUUGUCUGUAGCCAACAUAAUUUCUCAGGCCAAAACAGGUACUCUUUCAAUCACUCACUCCACUCUCGGAGGAGUUAAAACAACUAAUCAUUGACUUUCGCAAUUAAAUUACGCCUCUCGCGUCUUACUUUCCUAAGGUUUGCCAAACUUAGGUUUUCUAGGUCCCAACGACCUAAUGCUAAUCUCUAAUACCAACUUAAUCUGUCACGCCCCGGAUGUCUCGUUUUCCGGGAACGCCGACAAAUCCGCCGUAUACAAAAAUUUUUUUUCUGUAUACGAAGCGACAGCUGUACCUGUAAAUAUACAAUACUACAAACAGUAGUAUAGAGCUGCUCAAGGAAACAGAACCAAAACAAACUGAGUUUCAUAUACAUAGCUCAAAAACCAAAAUGCUGAGUUACUCGCACUAGCGAGUUAAGUAUACUAUGUACAUAAACUUAAAAUAAAACAACUACCUGCAGUAGGGUGCCUCUAGCUCUGUUCGUCGGGUAGGGCUCUAACUCGCGACGCCCUUGCCUCGAUCCUGAUCUGCGGAAGGCGCAGCAGCCGAAACCUGUGGCUCUGCAAAACAGGGGUAACAACUGGGCGUGAGAACUACUGUAAAAACAAGUAGUCCUCAGUGGGUGCCGCCCAAAACAAUAUCGGUCCACCCACUAAGUCUACAGUAGGGAGCAAAGGUAAUAGGAAAAGCUGGAAAGAAAUCUACAGCUACAUAUCGCUACACUAGCAUGAUCUACACUAACCAACUGUAGUAAAAGUCACAACUGCCCCAAUCUCACUAGGGACUGUGAACACACCCGUCCCGCCUGUCGGAUCGAAUCCGUAACCUACUCCAAGAGUAGCUGGUGGAGAAAACUCUCUAGGGACUGUGAAUACACCCAUCCCGUCUAAUUAGGCGACACCGUAGCUCAAGAGUAACCGGCGGAGAAAACUCUCUAAAGACUGUGAAUACACCCGUCUCGUCUACUAGACUACACUGUAUCUCAAGAGUAACCGGCGGAGAAAACUCUCUAAAGACUGUGAAUACACCCGUCUCGCCUAAUUAGACUACAUCGUAUCUCGAGAGUAGUCGGUUCCAGAAAGGGUCCAACCGGACGGCUAAGACUCCACUCACGCCACAACCUUACUAAAGGUAGGGAAAAGAGUCACUUACUACCUCACCCGGGCUGCCCAAAACGGACCCACCCUGCCUGUAUCUAGCCGCGCCGUACACGACCGCGAGGGUAGCCGGCUCAAGAACUGUCCAACAUAAAUUGCGACACUCAUCGCACUGAAACCUCAUUCCGGAAUGGCAUUCGUGCGUGCGACCCAACGAGUUUACAAGUAUCUCUGUCAAGUUCAUACUGCUCUCACAAGCUAAGGUCAAGUAACCGACUCUAACUGGUCUAACAACCAACAUGCCACGUGCCCUCGACACAAUCCGACGCCAAAACGGCGAUAUGGGUCCACCGUCAACCCCGACGGCACCCAACAGUCCGGAACAGCCUGAACGCUACUGAAAAAAAAUCACUCGGUAUCCUAGCACGAGCGUAAAUGCAUUCUAAACUAUCUGGGGUAUCCGUCACCCCAAUCCUGUGACGAUAUAAAAAUACAACGGCUCCUAGAGCUAAAUCAGAUAGUUUAGGCAUAUGUCGAUCAUUAUCGCGUUUUCUCCUAAGUCAUUUCCAAGUCCCACAUGUAUAAACUAUUUAAUUUACUAUUUCAUGCUCCAAAUUCAGAUUUGCAGUUUACCUAAUAAUCCAUGAAUUCGAGCUA
rnacentral:lncRNA from 1 species